UUGCCACCUGUUAUGACUUCAUCUCUCAAGUGUAAAGCAUGCUAGCCCCGUGCCACUUGGCUGUGCAGAGCGCAUCUUCAGAGGACGACGGAGGGAAGGAAAGGGGAGAGGAAAGGAGGGAAAGCAGACAGGCAGCCCAGGCCGGCCAGGCGGGACGUGCUGGCUAGGCCAGUCCAGAGGAGGAAGCUUGGGGGCCGGAGAUGAGAGGGUGGGGAGUAAGGGUGGACCCCGACGUGCCUUCCCUGCAUUAUCAGGAGCAGGCCUCAGCUGGAGGCCACUGCCACGGCCUGCUACCUCUGCCUAGCCUUUAAUGAGGGCUGCGGGAGGAGGGAGAGGCGGGCUGGGGAGAGAGGGCGCCUGCGAGGAGCUCCGGCAGGCCCAGCAUGAAGCAGAGCCAGGAGAGGGUUAAAAGUGGCGUGAUAGAGACUGUGGGGAAGGCUGGACCAGAGGGCAAAGGGAGCAUCAAAGCCGGGAUAAAUGGCCUUAAUUCUCAUGCUCCCGCUCGCCGGUCGUGUUUACUCAUAUAAAUUAUCCCCCAGGCCUGACACCUUUUUUCACUGCUUCCCUAGAACUGAUGAAAAAAUAAAUCCCACAGAUCCCAGGAAUAAAAAGUGUGGGGCUUUCAUUCAGGCUGGUUCUCCUUGGCCACCUAAUAGCAACUCAGGUCCCGCCCCAGGGCUCCAGGAGGAAGACAAAGGAAGGCUUCAUCCCCAAUGUGGAGGGGCAGGGGGCCUGGAAGCCUGGCGGGGAAGCAGACAGUAGGGCCCGCUCCCCACAGGACCCUCCAAGCGUCAGAGCCCUCGACGGCAGAGAACUCGCUCUCCCCACAGGCCAUCUUGCCACCAGCUCUGAGGACCCUGUGAGUAUAUGGGAAAGUAAAGGGGACUACGCUGGAGUGGAUGCGGAAGGCGCUGAGGCCAGGGCUGCUGUCAUGAGUCCUCACAUUUAUGGAUGGGGCUGAUAAACUGUCACACCCCGCACCGUCGAGGACAAGAAAGGCCACGUGAGGACACAAUGAGAAAGCAGCUAUCUGCAAUCCAAGGAGAGAGCCCUCACCACACUCUGACCCUACCAGAACCUUGAUCUUGGACUUCCAGUCUCCAGAAUUGUGAGAAAUAAAUUCCUGUUGUUUAAGCCA